UACGGAGGGGGCUAGCGUUGUUCGGAAUUACUGGGCGUAAAGCGCACGUAGGCGGCUUGGUAAGUUAGAGGUGAAAGCCUGGAGCUCAACUCCAGAAUUGCCUUUAAGACUGCCGAGCUAGCAGGUGAGAGAGGUGAGUGGAAUUCCGAGUGUAGAGGUGAAAUUCGUAGAUAUUCGGAAGAACACCAGUGGCGAAGGCGGCUCACUGGCUCAUACUGGACGCUGAGGUGCGAAGGCGUGGGGAGCAAACAGG
rnacentral:rRNA from 1 species